rnacentral:rRNA from 1 species
UACGUAGGGCGCAAGCGUUGUCCGGAAUUAUUGGGCGUAAAGAGCUCGUAGGCGGCCUGUUGCGUCCGCUGUGAAAUCCCGGGGCUCAACCCCGGGCCUGCAGUGGAUACGGGCUGGCUAGAGGCAGGCAGGGGAGAACGAAAUUCCUGGUGUAGCGGUGAAAUGCGCAGAUAUCAGGAGGAACACCGGUGGCGAAGGCGGUUCUCUGGGCCUGUACUGACGCUGAGGAGCGAAAGCGUGGGGAGCGAACAGG